rfam:Acinetobacter sp. ANC 4149 Contig22, whole genome shotgun sequence.
UAAAGCAUGUUUAUGUAUAGCUUAGUUGAAUGAUAUGAGGCAUAAUGCCCUACAACGUAGCGGUGUCUCAUGAUUGAGAAGGAUUUUUCAUGUCUAAAAGAAAAGUUCUUAAUCAUGCGACACUAUAAUCGCUAUCCCAUAAUUUAAUUAGGGAAUGGGACUCUUCACCGAGGUUGUAAAAUGAGACAAACAAUUUUAGCUGUAU